rnacentral:RNase_P_RNA from 1 species
UAAGUCAGAUAAGUGAUUGCGGCUGCCAUCAGGCAGGUGAGGAAAGUCCGGGCUUCAUAGGGCAGGAUGCCGGAUAACGUCCGGUGGAGGUGACUCCCAGGCUAGUGCAACAGAAAUAUACCGCCACCAUUUGGUGGUAAGGGUGGAAAGGCGAGGUAAGAGCUCACCGCUGUCUUGGUAACAAGGCAGGCUCUGUAAACCCCAUCCGAAGCAAGACCAAACAGUAAAGACAAUGCAGUUGCCCGCUGGGUCUUUCGGUAGGUCGCUUGAACCUUGUGGUAACACAAGGUCUAGAUAGAUAAUCACUCUCGACAUAACCCGGCUUACAGUCUGGCUUGCACA